rnacentral:tRNA from 1 species
CAGAGUGUAGCUAAACCAGAAAAGCAUCUCCCUUACACUGAGAAGUCGCCCGUGCAAAUCGGGCCACCCUGA